GACGUAGGGGGCGAGCGUUGUCCGGAUUUAUUGGGCGUAAAGCGUGCGUAGGCGGCUGCGCAAGUCGGGUGUGAAACCCCGGGGCUCAACCCCGGAACUGCAUCCGAUACUGCGUGGCUAGAGUGUGGCAGAGGGGGGUGGAAUUCCACGUGUAGCAGUGAAAUGCGUAGAGAUGUGGAGGAACACCGAUGGCGAAGGCAGCCCCCUGGGCUAACACUGACGCUCAGGCACGAAAGCGUGGGGAGCAAACAGG
rnacentral:rRNA from 1 species